rnacentral:rRNA from 1 species
UCCUACGGGAGGCAGCAGUAGGGAAUCUUCCGCAAUGGACGAAAGUCUGACGGAGCAACGCCGCGUGAGUGAUGAAGGUUUUCGGGUCGUAAAACUCUGUUGUUAGGGAAGAACAAGUGCUAGUUGAAUAAGCUGGCACCUUGACGGUACCUAACCAGAAAGCCACGGCUAACUACGUGCCAGCAGCCGCGGUAAUACGUAGGUGGCAAGCGUUAUCCGGAAUUAUUGGGCGUAAAGCGCGCGCAGGUGGUUUCUUAAGUCUGAUGUGAAAGCCCACGGCUCAACCGUGGAGGGUCAUUGGAAACUGGGAGACUUGAGUGCAGAAGAGGAAAGUGGAAUUCCAUGUGUAGCGGUGAAAUGCGUAGAGAUAUGGAGGAACACCAGUGGCGAAGGCGACUUUCUGGUCUGUAACUGACACUGAGGCGCGAAAGCGUGGGGAGCAAACAGGAUUAGAUACCCUGGUAGUCCACGCCGUAAACGAUGAGUGCUAAGUGUUAGAGGGUUUCCGCCCUUUAGUGCUGAAGUUAACGCAUUAAGCACUCCGCCUGGGGAGUACGGCCGCAAGGCUGAAACUCAAAGGAAUUGACGGA